rnacentral:lncRNA from 1 species
CUCAACUCCUGCACGCUACGAUAUAGAAGUUGGCAACACUGCGGUUACUAGAGAAGAGGACAUCAAAAGAGUGAGAGUGAGGCGAGGUAUGUCCAGUUUAGAGGAGAUAAAACUCGCCAUCUGCUGCCAUCUGCUCUUGUUACUUGGUCUCUCUGAGGAAACCCUUCAAAAAUUGAUCCAUGGGCUUACUGCUAUUGGUGUUGAAACAAAAGCUGACCUAAACUAUGUGAAAGAAGGCGACCUCAUGGAAUACCUCAGGCCUAUCCAAUGUCGAAAACUACUAAAUGCGUGGAAAAAUGAAGCCAGCUGCUCGACUUCCCAAUGCUCAUCACAUCAAGUUCUUUCUGAUGCAUCAAGCCCAGGAUCAGAGAGUUCAA